CCUACGGGAGGCAGCAGUAGGGAAUAUUGCGCAAUGGGGGAAACCCUGACGCAGCAACGCCGCGUGAGUGAGGAAGGACUUCGGUCUGUAAAGCUCUGUUAAUGUGGAAAAAUGGUAGCUGGUCUAAUAGGCCGGCUAUUUGAUGGUACACAUAGAGGAAGCACCGGCUAACUUCGUGCCAGCAGCCGCGGUAAU
rnacentral:rRNA from 1 species